CUGGAGGGAAGACAUCCGGCCUGGGGACCCCCAGCACACCAAGAAGUUCUGCUUUGACGCCAUCUCCCACACCAGCCCCGUCACUCUCUACGACUGCCACAGCAUGAAGGGCAACCAGCUGUGGAAGUACCGCAAAGACCAGACCAUGUACCACCCCGUCAGCGGCAGCUGCAUGGACUGCAGUGAAAGUGACCACAGGAUCUUCAUGAACACCUGCAACCCCUCCUCUCCCACCCAGCAGUGGCUGUUUGAACACAUCAACUCAACAGUCUUGGAAAAAUUCAACAGCAGCUGAGCUCUCACGUUCCCGUGGCGGGCCUGGCAGGGUCCUCUCUGGCGCUCACCACAGCCUCCACCUCCCAAGGGGGGCAGAGCUUCUGCAAGCCCCGUCACGUAAAAGGUGCUGGCCACCCAGGUUAGGGCAGAGAGGGCUCUUGCGGCUGGGCCAGCUGUCCGCCUGAUCCUGCAGGCCCUGGGUGGCGAUGGGAUGGACAGCAGACCCCACCAGAGGCUCCACCUGAGCAGAGCCUGCUCCAGCCCUGAUGGCACCACGGAAAUCCAGGACAGCCUUUUCAGCAUGGUCACCACGUUCCCUUGGGACACUUUGCAGGAAGAAUGCCAGGGCAACCCCAAACGAGUCCUCCUCCGGGGCUGCCCAGCCUCAGGUGGCUGGGACGUGUCGGCCCUGUCAGAAGAGAGGCAGUUCUGUCUGCAGGGGGGCAGCUCUUAGCGCUGGCACCCUUCAUCUACACCAGAAAGGAAGACGUCUUUCUCGGGGCUGAUGGUUUUAGUUUUUGCCUGGCUUGGGGUAACUGUGAUUACUGCCCAGCGUCUGUUCUCUGUCACAGCCGCAGGAGAUGCAGUCAGAGGCCAUAUUGGGGCUUCUGGGUGUUCAGUACUGAACACUGACCAACUGCCAGGCCAAGGUUUGGAAAGGGGGCUGCAAGUCAUUCCUUUGCUGCCACGGACAUACCGAUGUCUCCCCUUGCUCCCGGGGUACUUGAAGCUCCCGCGUUAGUGCUCUCCAGGCACAGGGACAGCCCCGCCCACAGGUUUUCAGGGCUGUGUUUGGGCCUGUGGCACAGCCUAGUAGAUAAACUCCAGACUAGAAAUUCUGGCUGAAUCUCCCUCAUCAGUGCUUCCAUCUCUCUGUCUCUCUCCCUCUCUCCCUCUCCCCCUCUCCCCCGCCCCCUCUCUCUCCACCUCAAGAGAGGAACAGAGGUGUGAGGUGCUCAUCUCACAAAGUCCAGAGGCCCCCGGGGUGGACAUGGACAGGAUGCCCAGCUUCUGACUCAUCAUGGGUCUGGUUCUCGCAGGGAGCUCUAGAAUUUUUAAGGAACUCUGUCAUUUGACCACAAAUUAGAAUGCCACAUAGGAUGCUGGCAUUCUAGCAUCUGAUACGGAUUCCUAUAGUGCAUAAAGGCAUCCCCCAGCCUAGAGACAGUCUGUGAAAUCCAGGCUUGGUGGUGUUGGAGGAGGGGGGACCCCUGUCCAUCAGCUCUUACCAGGGGCUUCAGUGUGACACAGUCCUCAGCCCAGAGGGAGCUCUGCCACCUCCCACCACGGUUACAGCUGCAGUGGAGAACAGGCCCCAGUGUCCCACGAAUAGAGGUGCACCCAGCUCCUUGUUGGUCCUUUGUGUUUACCUUUCACUUUGUUAAUUAUGUGUCAGACUCCCAGAGGACUCCCAAACUAAUAGGAAGCGUUUCUGUAACCAGCCUGCCAGCCACUGAUUCAGAAAUGGAAGUCACAGUCUAUGGUGCAUGGCUUCCGCCAGCUAUAGCCCAGGAAGUCCUUGAACUCAGUAUUCCCAUUAGAGCUGAGCCUCUUGAUUGGGUCAUUUACCAGUGAAAUAACUUGAGACAUAAAUCUGGGAGCGGAGCCGGCAAAACAUCACUUCCAUUUCUGCCUCGGCACAAGCCCUGCUCUGGCCACCUGUCCACAGGAGAGAUGGCCCUGUGCUCGCAAAGCUUGCCUAUCCAUCCCUAGUAUCUUUUCCAAGUGGGAACUCUACCUUCAGAAGUGGCCUCUGUAAGACAGAGUCAGAAGAUGAGGCCUCUUCCAGAAUUUAGGAUAACAAGAGUGUUGCAGCCUGGGAGAGUUGUGUUAGGGUUCAUCAUCAGAGGGCAAUGCAGCAUCAUUAAAAACUGUGCCUUUUAAAAAGAAAAAAUGCAAAUGUACAGCCAAUCCCUAAACUUGAAUCAUUUCCUAGUGCCUUGCUAGACAAAAUAAAGGGGCGGGGGCGGGGGGGGAAGCACUUUGGGUGGAGUGUGCAGUUCCUGUUGGGUGAGUGCGUGUUCCUUAAAGUCUAAUUUCAAGCAGGAGACCUUGGGCCUAAAGCAGGAUCUGAGACAGUAGUGCCCCCCAAGAGGCAGAGGCCAGAAGUUACUCCAUUUAAUUUAGUGCGUGUAACGCCCCAAAUUAAAGGACAACUGGAUGGCUCAUUUAAUCCAGGGCCAACAAGGGCCUGAGCAGCCCCUGGGAGAGGGCCCUGUUUGACAUCCCAGCCCCCAGGUGGAAUGUGGAGCACUGGCUAUGUUUCCAGAUUGUCCCACUCCAGGCAGGGGACCGCGUUCUCCAAGAGACCGGGAUGCGUGUGGGAAGCAGGAGCGGCAGCAGGCCGUCCUCAGCAGCCCUCCUUUCCUCCUCGGGUUAUCCUGGGUCUGCUUUUGCACCCCCACCAAGGAAUGGGCGGGUCCUUGAGCACUCUGGCAUCUGUAACUGCUGAGCCCACAUCCGCAGGUGCAGAGACACCACGUAGCCUGUCAUCAGGGAAGGACCAGAGAAGCUCAUUCCUUCACUGACCAGCUGAGGGCACAUCCUCACCACGCAUUGCUUUGUCUUCAUUUUGGAAAACCACCUGUCUCCAGGAACCUGUGGAGGUGCGUCAGUCACGUAACAGGUGACCCUGUGGCCCCCUUUCCCUCCAAAGCCCUUCUCCUGAGCAUGAGGUCACCAGACAGGGUGUGGCCAGGAAGUAUGAUCCCUGUGUGGCUCACCCACAGCCUUUCCAAAGGGGAACCCCGCCAACACUUCAGAAUGCAAAGAGCAUCUUUGCCGUAAGUACACUUGUUAAGUGUGCAGGCCCGAAUGUGAAAAGCUAUUCCACCCGGUGCUUCCAGUUGGGGCCUUCACCUUUUAAAAGAAUCCAGGAACCACCCACUCCCCAGUUGUGGGAGAAAUAGCUCAGAGGCAGAAGGGAGCACAUCCGUGGAAGCGAUCUGAUGGGGAAUGCGAGCUUAGAACUGGGGGAGAAAGAGCAUUCUUGUCGGAGAUGUAACAUUCGGAUUCCCCAAGUCCACCUUGUGUUCGCUUUUCUGACCUCCUGCCUGUUGAGUUUCUUUUCCUCCUUAAGGAAGAGGUGAUAUCCUCGAAGACGGUUCCAUGUUUCUUUCUGCGCAUCUCCAUUUUUCUAGACUCUGAUGAAAGUUUCAAAAGGAUGGCCAAGCACUUUACAGUACUGAGGACUCUGGACUCCUUGCUUCAAGGACCCCUCGUUUGUACAGAUUGGGCAAUCUUUUAUAAUGCUUAGAAGACAGCGCAUUUUUAAUUAAGUUUUCUGAAGAUGUCUAAGUGUGAGAGGGGGGCGCAGAGUGAGUUCUGUUCUGGAAUUCAUUUCUGCUUUCAGUUGAUGCUUUUUUUGUGUGAAAAUCCAAGUGAUGCUUUAGUUCAGACUUGAUCUGGAGCCAAGGCCUGCGGUCAUCUCUCGGGUGGGAGUGGGACCUACAUUCCAAGCGAUAAGCUCCUCUUAACAUCCGCUCCCAAAAUGGCUUUGAUUCCACCGUUCCAGCCAACAGGGUCGGGUUCUUGGUCUGUUAUGGGCUUAAAGGUACAUCUCAAAGGGAUUCCAGGCAGGGAAUGUUUAAGACGUCAAAUCUGGGGUUCCUCACAGGAAGCUGGAGUCGGCCAGCCUCUCAUCUCCUGCCUGAAAAAGUGAGCGUUUGUGAAGACCUGACUCCCCAUGUACAACUGUGAUUAUGACUGUCGUUGAGUAAAUCUCCAGACUUUUCU
rnacentral:lncRNA from 1 species